GCCGCCAUAGCUCAGAUGGCAGAGCACUUGACUUGUAAUCAUGAGGUCUCCGGUUCGAUUCCGGGCGGCGGCU
rnacentral:tRNA from 1 species